UAAUUUCCUCGGUUUCACGCUCAAUAUCAGGAUGAACAAGGGCCACAUAGUCGUUGCAAGCCACAAUGUUUCCUAGAGCUGAAAGUCGUUCAUCAACACGUUGGAUUUUGACAGGAUCUGGAAGAGAAUUGCGGAGGUGCUGUAGUUCAUUAUCGGUGGUAGAAGAGGGAACUAACAGACCUUUUCUAUUACCACAUGUCAAACGACCAAUGAUUCUGGUUCCUCCAAUUGUGGUAUGAACAACGGGUACAACAUCACCUAACUCUGCCUCGAACACGCUGUUAUAAAAGUUAGUGAAAAGUUGAUAAAUGUAAAAAAUGCCAAAAAAAAUAAUUUGUCGAGCUGCAUCGAGUCAAGGAAUAAUAAAGGUAAUGAACAGCAAACCGCCAGAGUUUAAGUAGUGGUUUGCAUUUAUGUAGCAAAGUCUCUUUUACUCAAUUAAAGAGUAGUUAGGCUACAUCAUUCACAUAUGUGCUAUUUAUUUUUCUCAUAAUACGUUCGACUGGUUAAGGAUUUUAAGAACCUUUAAAAAAAUUUUGAAUCGUUUACAUUUAGAACAUUAAAUUUUGGCAUCAAAUAAACGUUAAGCUUACCUGUAGAAGUUUUCAGAGCCUCCAAGCGCUACAAGUGCGUAUGAGUUUGUGAGAUUAGAAAAGACACCAAUCCUAUAAUUUGUUAAUAUCAUGCGUCUAUUAAGCAAAAAAGCUGAGUAAACUUACUCAUUAGAAUUCUCGAAUUGAGCACGAAGUGCCAUUUUGGUAAAGAAAAA